GACGAACGCUGGCGGCGUGCUUAACACAUGCAAGUCGAACGAAGUGGCGAACGGGUGAGUAACGCGUAAUCAACCUGCCCUUCAGAGGGGGACAACAGUUGGAAACGACUGCUAAUACCGCAUACUGAAGGAGGGGAUUGCGUCUGAUUAGCUAGUUGGAGGGGUAACGGCCCACCAAGGCGAAGAUCAGUAGCCGGUCUGGGAGGGUGAACGGCCACAAUGGGACUGAGACACGGCCCAGGCUCCUACGGGAGGGAGCAGUGGGGAAACUUCCGCAAUGGGCGGAAGUCUGGCGGAGCAAAGCCGGGGGAGGGGUGACGGCCUUCGGGUUGUAAAGCUCUGUUAAUCGGGACGCGGUACCGGAAUAGAAAGCCACGGCUAACUACGUGCCAGCCGCCGCGGUAAUUC
rnacentral:rRNA from 1 species